CGGAGGCGCUCAAAGGUUCCCUCAGAAUGGUUGGAAAUCAUUCAUAGAGUGUAAAGGCAUAAGGGAGCUUGACUGCGAGACCUACAAGUCGAGCAGGGUCGAAAGACGGACUUAGUGAUCCGGUGGUUCCGCAUGGAAGGGCCAUCGCUCAACGGAUAAAAGCUACCCCGGGGAUAACAGGCUUAUCUCCCCCAAGAGUUCACAUCGACGGGGAGGUUUGGCACCUCGAUGUCGGCUCAUCGCAUCCUGGGGCUGUAGUCGGUCCCAAGGGUUGGGCUGUUCGCCCAUUAAAGCGGUACGCGAGCUGGGUUCAGAACGUCGUGAGACAGUUCGGUCCCUAUCCGUCGUGGGCGUAGGAAAUUUGAGAGGAGCUGUCCUUAGUACGAGAGGACCGGGAUGGACAUACCUCUGGUGUACCAGUUGUCGUGCCAACGGCAUAGCUGGGUAGCUAUGUGUGGACGGGAUAAGUGCUGAAAGCAUCUAAGCAUGAAGCCCCCCUCAAGAUGAGAUUUCCCAACUUCGGUUAUAAGAUCCCUCAAAGAUGAUGAGG
rnacentral:rRNA from 1 species